rnacentral:rRNA from 1 species
UAGGGAAUAUUGGACAAUGGGGGCAACCCUGAUCCAGCCAUGCCGCGUGAGUGAAGAAGGCCCUCGGGUUGUAAAGCUCUUUUGUCCGGAAAGAAAAGCAUUCGGUGAAUACCCGGAUGUUCUGACGGUACCGGAAGAAUAAGCACCGGCUAACUUCGUGCCAGCAGCCGCGGUAAUACGAAGGGUGCAAGCGUUACUCGGAAUUACUGGGCGUACAGCGUGCGUAGGCGGUUUUGUAAGACAGAUGUGAAAUCCCCGGGCUUAACCUGGGAACUGCGUUUGUGACUGCAAGGCUGGAGUACGGCAGAGGGGGGUGGAAUUCCACGUGUAGCAGUGAAAUGCGUAGAGAUGUGGAGGAACACCGAUGGCGAAGGCAGCCCCCUGAGCAUGUACUGACGCUCAUGCACGAAAGCGUGGGGAGCAAACA